GUGGGGAAUAUUGGACAAUGGGCGAAAGCCUGAUCCAGCCAUGCCGCGUGUGUGAAGAAGGUCUUCGGAUUGUAAAGCACUUUAAGAUGGGAGGAAGGGCAGUAAGUUAAUACCUUGCUGUUUUGACGUUACCGACAGAAUAAGCACCGGCUAACUUCGUGCCAGCAGCCGCGGUAAUACGAAGGGUGCAAGCGUUAAUCGGAAUUACUGGGCGUAAAGCGCGCGUAGGUGGUUUUGUAAGUUGGAGGUGAAAUCCCCGGGCUCAACCUGGGAACUGCCUCAAAAACUGCAUGGCUAGAGUACGGUAGAGGGUAGUGGAAUUUCCUGUGUAGCGGUGAAAUGCGUAGAUAUAGGAAGGAACACCAGUGGCGAAGGCGACUACCUGGACUGAUACUGACACUGAGGUGCGAAAGCGUGGGGAGCAAACAGGAUUAGAUACCCUAGUAGUCC
rnacentral:rRNA from 1 species